UAUGGCAGAUUAGUGGCAUUGGGAAAC
rnacentral:tRNA from 1 species